CGUAGGUGGCGAGCGUUGUCCGGAAUUACUGGGUGUAAAGGGCGUGUAGGCGGGAAUGUAAGUCAGAUGUGAAAUGCCGAGGCUUAACCUCGGAGCUGCAUCUGAAACUGCGUUUCUUGAGUGUCGGAGAGGAAAGUGGAAUUCCCAGUGUAGCGGUGAAAUGCGUAGAUAUUGGGAGGAACACCAGUGGCGAAGGCGACUUUCUGGACGAUAACUGACGCUGAGGCGCGAAAGCGUGGGGAGCAAACAGGAUUAGAUACCCUGGUAGUCCACGCCGUAAACGAUGGAUACUUAGGUGUGGGAGGUAUCGACCCCUUCCGUGCCGCAGUUAACACAAUAAGUAUCCCACCUGGGGAGUACGGCCGCAAGGUUG
rnacentral:rRNA from 1 species